UAAUGCUUUAACAAUUUACGAUAAAAUUCAUCAAAUGACAUAUUAUUUCUUUACACCGUACUCAUUCGUCAUACAGCAUUACAAAAUUUUUUAAAACUGAACACAAGGUUGCAGCGUAAUAUUAGGAACCUCAUUUACAGCCGUCAAUUCUUGGGGGUCCUGCUGAAAUACAACAUUUCUUAUUCCUGGAUUUAGACAGUUGUAGUUAUAGAAACUUGAAUAAUGGCAACCGAUUCUUGCAAGUUUCGCUGACUAGCAACAUAUCUUCUGUUUCAAAUUUAAUAAUCUUUCGUGCGAACAAUUUUUGUGAAAUUUGCUGAGUGGCUACAAGUCAUCUUUUUUUUAAUUAGAAUAGUCGUGUUUGGAAGUAUUUAUUUAUAGCAACCAAUCUUAUAGCUGCUCAUUUCAACUAUUGUAGUUAUCAAAUGGAGUAUUUGCUGUCAAUUCAUAGUCCGGAAUAAUUAAGAAAUUACAAGUAUUUCAGAGAAUUCAAAAUUCUUUAUGAUUAAGGGAAUAAUUUGUCAACCU